ACUUCGAACAACGCUAUGGCGACCAAUCUGCGCCGGAGCACACCUCAACCAACUGAUUCUUCGCCCAACACGAUUCACGGCCUAUUUCAUUUUUUUGGACAAGUAGAGGAGCCACACCCACGAUAUGCUUCCUCCUUAGUGAUGAAUCAACGCCUCUAUGAAGGAAAGCCCACUGCUCCCUCGUUUUUUAGAUGCUCGGUCAUUUUUC
rnacentral:lncRNA from 1 species